rfam:Ornithorhynchus anatinus chromosome 20, whole genome shotgun sequence.
AGCAGCGUGGCUCAGUGGAAUGAGCACGGGCUUGGGAGCCAGAGGUCACGGGUUCGUAUCCCGGCUCUGCCG